rnacentral:rRNA from 1 species
AUUGAACGCUGGCGGCAGGCCUAAUACAUGCAAGUCGGACGGUAACAUAAGAAAAGCUUGCUUUUCUUGAUGACGAGUGGCGGACGGGUGAGUAAGAUUUGGGAAACUACCUGAUAGAGGGGGACAACAGUUGGAAACGACUGCUAAUACCGCAUAAGCCCACAGCUCGGCAUCGAGCAGAGGGAAAAGGAGUGAUCCGCUUUGAGAUGGCCUCGCGUCCGAUUAGCUAGUUGGUGAGGUAACGGCUCACCAAGGCAACGAUCGGUAGCCGGACUGAGAGGUUGAACGGCCACAUUGGGACUGAGACACGGCCCAG